GAUGAACGCUAGCUACAGGCUUAACACAUGCAAGUCGAGGGGUAACGAGAGGAAAGCUUGCUUUCCCUGUCGACGACCGGCGCACGGGUGAGUAACGCGUAUCCAACCUGCCCCCAACUAGGGAAUAACCUUGCGAAAGUAAGACUAAUACCCUAUAAUUUCCUCAGAUGACAUCUGACGAGGAAUAAAGAUUUAUCGGUUGUGGAUGGGGAUGCGUCUGAUUAGCUUGUUGGCGGGGUAACGGCCCACCAAGGCAACGAUCAGUAGGGGUUCUGAGAGGAAGGUCCCCCACAUUGGAACUGAGACACGGUCCAAACUCCUACGGGAGGCAGCAGUGAGGAAUAUUGGUCAAUGGGCGGAAGCCUGAACCAGCCAAGUAGCGUGCAGGAUGACGGCCCUAUGGGUUGUAAACUGCUUUUAUACAGGAAUAAAGUUAGCCACGUGUGGUUAUUUGUAGGUACUGUAUGAAUAAGGACCGGCUAAUUCCGUGCCAGCCGCCGCAGUAA
rnacentral:rRNA from 1 species